rnacentral:lncRNA from 1 species
UGUGCCUGGAGGUGGCGGAGUGUACCGACGCGGGUGUGAGCGCGUGUGCCAGCGAGGGUGGGCACGGGGGUGAGCGUGGCAAGGGCAGCAGCACCUGCUUGAGACCAAGCCCGGCGACCUGGCAAGGUGGGGCCCCCUACCGCGCAAUCUUUGCGGCUGGCCCCCGGCUCUCAGCUCCGAGUGCAGAGGCUGAAGAGGUACCCGGGGGACACACUGCCUCUAACCCCACGUAUGAGCCGCUCUCCUCUCGGAGGGCGAAGGCACCAUCGGAAGGUCGAGAUUCGCCCUCCUCUCCCGCCACGUCUACCCACCACCCAGACCGGGAGUCUGGACUUGGGAGCGUGAACUCUCACCCGAGCCGGUCCCCUUACAACUGGAGCCCGCCCAGCCCCUCAGUCCCUCCCUGAAGCCCAUGGGUCCCCACUGCUCCGUGCCUCGUCUACCCAGGAUGGGGAGUGGGAAGGUCAGCAUGUGCCCACAGGGCCAGGUGUCCGGCCCAGAUUCCCACCCUCAGGGCGGCGGCGCGCAAAGGGCGCAGUCCCCGCCGCUGGGCGGACCCGCGGCUCCGGCUUUCCCGGUGUCUCCAGCCUCGGUGCCCGGAAUCCUGGAUCUCGGCCUGGCGCUCCGGAAGCGAGGCAGCUCCGUGCCCCAGCAGGGACGGGGAACGCUUGGCUUGAGAGAUCACAUUUCUGGGUGUGGAGAGGUGGGUGCCGAGGCAGAGAAAUGCAAAGUGCGUUGUGACCUCUGGGGUGUUCUAGACUGCGAGGGUGUUCAAGACCCUAGGACAAUUGUAGACCCAGGGCUGGAAAAGGACCUCCCUGAAUCCGGAACGGGGCUUCUGGCUUGUGAGAACCCCUAGCCCUCUUCCAGAUGAAGGAGUGGAAGUCGGUAAUUGUGGUCUGGGCCCUUGUGGGCCCCUGGCACCUUGGAGUCCCUCAUUCACUCACUCUUACUUUUUCCGGAGCCCCCUUCAGUCUGUCAGUUUGAAAGGUACACAAUU